CAGAUCUCUCCACCAGGAGCACAGGGCGCACGGAGUAAGCGCUGCGACCCAUUCAAACCUGCCUCGGAUUAUCGCUGAUGUUUAGACAUUCUUCACGUCAGUUUUCAAAGUUUUAAUAGUCAAUCUUAAAGUUGAUUUAGAGGAUUAUGUUGGUGCGGUUCUCCUGGGGUAUGUGCCUCUUUUUGUCCUGCGCGUUGCUGCAACCUGUGUGUUCAGCGCAGAGUUCGAUAUGUGACCUAAUUCUGGAAAUAGACAAGGAAAGAGCCAUGUGCCAUGCACAAACUGAGGACAAUACAACAGGCUGCAAUAUCACAUGGGACAAGUUUACCUGCUGGCCUACUGCUGAUAUCGGAGAGGUGGUUACCAUCCCAUGCCCCAAGUAUCUCUUCUACUUCACCAACAAUGCUUCUC